rnacentral:lncRNA from 1 species
UCUGUUCCUUGCGUAAUGGGACUUACUCAUCUUAUUGAUCAUAACCUGUUAAUAGGAAAUAAAAUAAUAAGAUUUCUUUAACUAAUUAAUUAUAGAUUCCUUUUUUAAAGGUAUAUAGCAACGAGAUAAUAUUCUUUUUUGGCAUUAAAAUAUAUCAAGAAUAUCUAAUUGAUUCUAAACAAAACAGACUUUAUUGUUAGCAAGAUAUCAGACCCUACAUGUUUAAUCGUCUAAUCCUUGAAACAAUAUUGAUUAUUUGAUUACAGAAACAUUUUCUAAAUGAAGAAAAGAAAUUCAUUGGUUGAUAAAGGUUUAACUGACGCAACUCCAUCUUCUAAGAGGAAGUGUUCUACACCUAAAUCCAGAGUUAUAAGUAAUUUGCAACAACCUAAUUCAUCUGAAAAGCAGACAUCAGUUCCUGUGAAGUCAAUAUUUGGUAGGGUAUUUACAGACAUAACAAAUUUGACUCCUGUGGUGUUAGAAGAGUCUCUUUGUCCUAGAGAGAAAAAUUUAUCAGUAACUGAUACAGGUAAAUCAUUAUAUUGAUCAUUCUGCUAAUUUUUUGAUGUUUACAGUUUUGCUUUAUGUUUUUCUAAAUGUACAAUUUGCUUCUUUAUAAUUGUUUUUUAGGUUCACUAGAUGAGAACUCAUAUCUAACACCUGUUUGUGUUAGACAAUCAUUGUCUUCUCAAGAACCAUACUCUUUAUGCUCGGUUCCAAUUACUGCAUCCAUUCAAUCCUCUCAAUGCCAGGGAUAUAUAAAUUCAACUGGUAUAUUGAUAGUACAUUUUAACAUAUUCUUUUUUUUUUUAUAUAUAAAUCUGACUUAUGUAUUAAAUGUAUCCUAUAAUAUACUGCAGAACUUAGUGAAUGUUUGAUAAAUGAUGGAUCAAAUUUAACAGAUAUACCAAUUAAACAAUCAACCUCAUCACUGGCCAGCAAGGAUUUCCUAAGUUCUAUCAGAUCUGAAGCAAUCAAAUGUGAUCAGUUUUUAUCAACAUAGCUUCAUUUUUUUCAGCUUUGGUUAGAUACUCUUUUUUAUCGUACUCAUAUAAUUACUCAUACACAAUUUUCAGCAACAUUGGCUGAUGAAAAUGUUCAAAACCUUUCAUCAGUCAGAAUAAGUCAAUCUUAUGCUCAACUUGGAGCAGAUACCUUUUUAUCCGACAUAAGAAGAGAAGCUACAAAAAGUAAGUUUUUACUAAAGUUUGGUUUUUGAUAUUGUAUUUUAUUAUUCAGCUUAUUUCACAUAAUAUAUAUGUCCUAAAUCUAUUUGCUUUUUGGUUAGACACCAUCAUUCAGUCUAAUUCAGGAACCCAGACCUUAAAGUCAGCUAAGAAGAGAACACCUAAUAGGGUGUUAGGAGACAUAUCAAACAAACCUGAUAGAAGAAGACGGCAUGAGCCACUUGGGAGCAGUGUAUUAUAUUCUGCACAAAACAAAGAAAAUUAUACACCAAACUGUGAGUAUAUAUUUGAUUUCAUUUGCAAAUAUUAAUAUCAAUAACAAAACCUUUAUAUGACAUUAGACAUAAAUUUACCAUUUUAUGCAAUUUGUACAGUUGAAUAUUCAGAACAGCAACCAAAACAAAGAAAAUCUAAGAAGACUCCAAAUUUGGAAGAUUGUCGUGUAAAUUUAUUUGACUCCACACCAUUUGAAGGUAGUAAUCAUCUUCUAUAUAGUUUAUAUUUGGCUUUGGAUUUUUAAUGUAUACUAAUAAAAAUUUGUUGUCAAACAGAAGAAGAAAUUUCUGAUCUAGAACAGGAAUAUGAUGUGAGUAGUCAAGAAGAUAUGGGUUCUGAUAGCAGUUCUGGAUAUGAAACAGAAUUAUCAGUUGAAACAGAUGAAGUAAUACAUGUUCAGAAUAAGAGGGGAACAUGUAGUAAAGGGAGAAAAGGAAUUAGUCUUAAACGAAGAAAAUAUACUAAAGGAGCAUCUAACCACAUAAAAAGAAAAACAGGUUACUAUUAACCAAACUCAUAUGUCCAUAAUGAAAGUGUUUACAUAUAAAAAAAUUAUUUAUUUGUCUUUAUUUGAUUUCUUUUUCAGAAGCCCUCAUUGACAUUCCUUAUUUAGAUCACGGUGAUACAAAAUGGAAAUGUCAAUACUGUGGUGCUAUGAUGUGGUAUGAUGAGCGUGUUAACAAAAGAAGAAAAAGCAAGAAACCAAAAUUCUCUCUUUGCUGUCUUCAGGGAGCAGUUAAAUUGCCAUUUCUUAAAGAAGCACCUGAGUUAAUUAGAAAAUUGCUGAGUAAGGAUGAUGCACUAAGCAGGCAUUUCCGUGAGAAUAUCAGAGCUUACAACAUGUUAUUCAGUAUGACUUCCCUUGGCGGUAAAGUUGAUAGAUCUAAUCCACAGGGAAAAGGUCCUAACCAGUUCCAACUACAUGGAGCCAAUUAUCAUUUGAUUGGUAGUAUGAUUCCUGGUGAAGGAGAUUAUGCUAAAUUCUCACAGCUUUAUAUUGUUGAUACUGAGAAUGAAGUUGAUAACAGAUCUACUGUCAUGAGGUACCAUAUAUAUUUAAUAUUAUUUAUUACUAAUUUUUAGUUGUGUAUUAUAUUACAUUUUAUGGUAUUUUCACUAAUUUAGCAUCCAUUCAAUUUCUGUGAGUGUAGCAAGGGAAAAUCCAAAGAAAACAAUAGUCAAGAAUCAAGUCAGAAAGGACCUCAUUGCAAAGCUUAUCAAAUUGUUGGAUGAUUGCAAUCCCUACGUUGAAAAUUUCAGGAUGGCAAAAGAUAAGUUGGAUAGUAAUGAUGGUGAACCGUUCUACAUGAAGAAUGUUAGUGAUAGGGUAGGAAAAGAUGGAAGAACUUAUUCCAACCCUACAGCGUCUGAAGUUGCAGCUUUGAUUCCCGGAGAUUUUCGUCCUGAAAUGCCUACACGUGAUAUUAUUGUUCAAGAUAAGAAAACAGGACAGCUUUCAAGAAUAAGCGAAGUUCAUCCUUCUUAUGUCCCAAUGCAAUAUCCUCUCAUAUUUACUUAUGGUGAAGAUGGAUUUAGACGAGGAAUAGAAAAGGGAUAUACAGGCAAGACAGAAAAACAAGCAAACAAGUGUAUAAGUAUGAGGCAGUGGUAUGCUUUCAGAAUACAAGAGAGAUUUGAUGAAGCACAGACACUACUACGUUCAAAGCGUUUGUUCCAACAGUUCUUGGUAGAUGGAUACACAACACUGGAAUCCAACAGGCUGUCCUAUAUUAAGUUUAACCAGUCUAAUCUGAGAUGUGAGAAUUAUUCUACUCUUAAGGCUGCCUCAGAAGCUGGAAACACCAACAUGGGUGAACAAGGUAAAUCAAUACGUAUUCCAUCUUCUUUUACUGGUGGACCUCGCUAUAUGUUGAACAGUUAUUAUGAUGCUAUGGCUACGUGUAAAAUGUAUGGUUUCCCAGACCUGUUUAUAACAUUUACAUGUAACCCCAAGUGGCCAGAAAUAACUAGAUAUUGUAAAGAACGUAGACUUAAUGCGGAUGAUAGACCAGAUGUUGUGUGUCGGAUAUUCAAGAUGAAGCUUGACUCUCUUAUGAAAGAUUUAACAGAAGACCAUCUUCUAGGAAAAACUGUCUCUGGUAAUGAAUUGUUUUGUCUUCUUUAUAUGUUUUAUGUUUGUUUAUUUUAUUGCCUGUUAUUGUACGAAUAUGAGUUUAAAAUGGUUAUUGCUAUUUGCAGCUAUGUACACAGUGGAGUUUCAGAAAAGAGGACUACCACAUGCUCAUAUACUCUUAUUCAUGGAUAAAAGUUGCAAAUUUCCAACAUCUGAUGAUAUUGACAAUAUCAUCUCUGCUGAGAUUCCAGAUAAAGCUAAGGAUCCUAAGUUAUAUGAGGUUGUAAAGGAGUGUAUGAUACAUGGUCCAUGUGGUGCGGCCAACAAAGAUUCACCAUGCAUGGUUGAUGGCAAGUGUUCUAAGUUUUUUCCUAAGAAAUUGGUUGAGCAAACAACAGUUGGUAAAGACGGAUACCCAAUAUAUAGAAGGCGGGAAUCUCAGCACUUUGUUGAAAAAGGUGGUAUUAAGUGUGACAACAGUUAUGUUGUUCCGUAUAAUCGCCUUUUAUCAUUGCGUUAUAGAGCUCACAUCAACGUUGAGUGGUGUAACCAAUCCGGUUCUAUCAAAUACUUAUUUAAGUAUAUUAACAAAGGACAAGAUCGUGUAGCUAUCGUUGUUGAACCUAAGGACAAGAAUACUGAUACGGAGACUGGAUCAGCAACUGGCAGUAAAGAAAAAAGUAAAGAUGAAAUCAAAGAUUACUUCGAUUGCAGGUAUGAUAUAAUAUUCCUUAGUGAAUAUAUCUACUAUAUCAGUUUUAUAUUUUCAGUUUGCAAUAAUUGACAUUUUUUCCCUUAAUAAAUAGGUAUGUUUCAGCUUCUGAAGCUGUUUGGAGGAUAUUCAAAUUUCCCAUCCAGUUUAGGACUACACCUGUGAUGAAGCUUUCUUACCAUCUUCCUGGAAAGCAACCAUUAUUUUUCGAUGGCACCCAGAAUAUUGAUGAACUAUUGGAUAGAAAAGCAAACGAAGAUUCUAUGUUUAUGGCUUAUCUUAAUCUGAAUAAGGAGAAUGAGUUUUCUAGACAGUUCACUUACGCAGAGAUUCCUCAAUAUUUCACUUGGGAUGGACAGAAUAAGCAGUGGAAGCUUAGGGAAAGAGGUUUCUGUAUAGGGAGAAUAAACUAUGCCUCCAUUAAAAUGGAACCAGAAUAUUACAUGAGGAUCCUUCUUGGGAUAGUAACUGGUCCAAAGAGUGAUGAAGAUAUCAGAACAUACAAAGAUGUUGUGUAUGAGACAUACAAGGAGGCAUGUUUGGCACGUGGUAUUCUAACAGACGAUCAAGCUUAUAUUGAUAGUAUAGUGGAAGCAAGCUUAUUUUUCUUUGGAGAUCAUCUUCGUAAUUUCUUUUCUAUGAUGCUUCUGGAUAAAUGUCUUGCAAGACCGGAGUAUGUGUGGGAAAUGUGUUGUGAAAUUUUAACGGAAGACAUCGAAACAAAGAAAAGAAAUCAGUACAACAAUCCAGGUUUGUUGAGAUACAAUUUUUUCCCGUUGGUUUGCUUGCUUUCCGUUUCUGUUAUAAUGAAAUAGUGUUUUUCUUUUUUACUCCAGAUUUAGUAUUAACUGAUGCUGAGAAAAGAAAUUAUGCUCUUCAAGAGAUAGAAGAUUUGUUGUUGUGUAAUGGGAGUACUCUGACAGACUUCAAAGACAUGCCUAAACCUACUCAAGAAGGUAUAGAUCAUUCAAACCAUUUCAUUACAGAAGAGAAAAAUUAUAACUGUGAUAAGUUGCGAGAAGACCAUGAUGAUUGGGUUAAUAAGAUGACUUCUGAGCAAAAAGACAUUUAUGAUGAGAUCAUUGGUGCUGUUUUAGAAAACAGUGGAGGUGUCUUUUUUGUUUAUGGAUUUGGGGGAACCGGUAAAACUUUUAUGUGGAAAACUCUAUUUGCCGCAGUUCGAAUGAGGGGUUUGAUUUCUGUCAAUGUUGCGUCUAGCGGGAUUGCUUCUUUGUUGUUAGAAGGUGGUAGAACUGCACAUUCUAGGUUUGGUAUCCCUAUUCAUCCUGAUGAUUUCACAACAUGUCAUAUCGUGCCUAACUCAGACCUUGCUAAUAUGCUUAAGGAAGCAUCUCUUAUCAUAUGGGAUGAAGCUCCUAUGAUGAGUCGUUAUUGUUUUGAGUCAUUGGAUAGAAGUCUAAAUGAUGUUAUUGGAAAUGUCGAUGGAAAGCCAUUUGGUGGUAAAGUUGUUGUUUUCGGAGGUGAUUUCAGACAAGUACUCCCUGUAAUACAUGGUGCUGGUAGGGCAGAGAUUGUUUUAGCUGCAUUAAAUUCAUCUUAUCUCUGGGAACACUGCAAGGUCCUCACUUUGACAAAGAACAUGCGUCUUAUGGCUAAUGAUUUGGAUAAAGAUGAGGCAGAGAAAAUUAAAGAGUUUUCUGAUUGGCUCUUGGCCGUUGGUGAUGGUAGAGUUUCAGAGCCUAAUGAUGGUGAAGUUCUCAUAGAUAUUCCAGAAGAUUUACUGAUUAAAGAUGUAAAUGAUCCUAUUGAAGCUAUUAUCAAAGCAGUUUACGGAGAAUUGGAUUUGUUGCAGCCUAAUAAUGAUCCUAAAUUCUUUCAAGAGAGAGCUAUAUUGUGUCCAAGAAAUAGUGAUGUCAACACCAUCAACGACAUCAUGCUUGAGAAACUUAAUGGUAAGAUUUACGUUUUAAUACUAUAAUCUUUAACUGUAUAUGUAUAAGAAACUUAUCUAACAAAUUUUCCCUAAACAGGUGAAGCAAUGACUUUUUUAAGUGCAGACGAUAUUGAUCCUCAGGAUGGUGCUUCAUUGAACAAUCCUGUCUUCACACCUGAUUUCCUCAAUAGUAUCAAGCUUUCUGGUUUGCCAAAUCACAGUCUCAGUCUCAAGAUUGGUGCACCGGUUAUGUUACUGAGGAAUAUUGAUCCAAAAAAUGGUCUAUGUAAUGGUACUAGAUUGCAGAUAACGCAGAUGGGUAAUCAUAUACUUGAAGCCAAAGUGAUUACUGGAGAUAGAAUCGGAGACAAAGUGAUAAUCCCUAAAUCUCAGAUAUCACCUUCAGAUACCAAAUUGCCUUUUCGCAUGAGGAGAAGACAGUUUCCAAUAUUUGUGGCUUUUGCAAUGACAAUAAACAAAAGCCAGGGACAAUCACUUAAAGAGGUAGGGAUUUAUCUUCCUAGACCAGUAUUUUCUCAUGGCCAGUUGUAUGUUGCCUUAUCAAGAGUCACUUCCAAAAAAGGUUUGAAAGUUCUUAUUGUGGAUAAAGAAGGAAAAACUCAGAGUCAAACAAUGAAUGUCGUCUUCAAAGAGAUCUUUCAGAACCUAAGGAAUUAGGAUAGUUUUAGUUUUUUUGCUUCUGUUAUUUAACUUUGUAGAUGUUUUGUAUUGUUUUUUAGAACAGCAAGUUCCUUUCCAUAGUCAUUUUAAUCCAAACAUAAUCAGACUCUCUGCAACUACAGUAGUGUAAGUUUAAGAGUUCAUUUCUAGACAACAAAAUCAAGAAACCUUAGUUCAAUUAUAACUCCGAUUGAGACAAACAACAACUUCAAUUUGUGUCUACAACUGAAAAAACAGAUCCAAAACUAACCUUAUAGAAAUGAUUAUUGCUUUAAGUGUUGUCGAUUUGCAAAAUUUGAUCUGCAAAUGGUUUCAUUCAGGUUCUGUUCUUCACUGAUCCCCUCUCCCAGAUUUCUAACAGAAACAAAUUCAUCAUCUCAAGUGCUUUAUCCGAAUCCUAUAUGAAAUCUGAAAAAGGUAAUUGAUCACAGAAUCUAAAUUAUCUUGAAACAAUUCAAUUGAAUUAGAAUGAAGCUUACAAAUUAAGAAGAAUUGGCGCAGAGAACAUGUCUAUUGAUGUGAGCUUAUGAUCUGAUUAUCAGCUUCUUCGGUAUCAUCGGUAAAGCUUAAGCAUGUCAAUGGAUGUUAACUUUCGGUGGAGAACGAGAAUCAUCGUUCUCAUAUGUUUUUUUUUUUU